rnacentral:lncRNA from 1 species
AAUGGAGAAUAGAUUAAGAUGCUAUGGAUAUGUACAAACAAAUAUCUAAGUAGGUUUAUACAAGUGGAGGUAAUUUAGUUUGUCUUGAAAGUUAUAAGAAAGAAAGAGGAAGACCUAAAUUAAUAUGGAUGGAGAUUGUGAGGAAGGACUUGGAUAAACUUGAAAUAAUGCCAUGGAUGGUCCUCGAUAGGAAUACAUGGUGCAUAAGGAUCCACAAAGUGCCAUGUCCC